GGGGUUGACUGGAUUUGACGGCGAGAUGAGAUGGUGUGUAAGCACGCGGAGCUGGGCGAUGGGAGGCUCCUUAAUCUCUUCUGUCGGAAAAUUAAUUGGCAACAACGAGUAUGCUCUCGCUGCUUAAUCGAAGUAAAGUAGAUUACGAGCUUAAUUCCACUACAAGGUAGAGGAACGAGACGUCGCCCCAAGGAUGUGGUUCCGAAUCUGAGGAACAGGCGGCGCAGGAAAAUCGGAAAUAGUUGCGGCUGGCUCCGCUGUCGCGAUGAAGCUUCAGGAGAUAAGGGUGCAGUUGGUGGCUCAGGUCUUGCUGCAUCACGAAAACGAAGGCUGAGAUAAGCGUGUAGAAAGCACAUGGUUUCCUCGUGCGGACGAGGGUUCGACUCCCUCCAGCUCCACU
rnacentral:tmRNA from 1 species